AGGCUUGUAGCUCAGGUGGUUAGAGCGCACCCCUGAUCAGGGUGAGGUCGGUGGUUCAAGUCCACUCAGGCCUACCA
rnacentral:tRNA from 1 species